rnacentral:rRNA from 1 species
GAUGAACGCUGGCGGCGUGCCUAACACAUGCAAGUCGAACGAAGCAAUUAAGAUGAAGUUUUCGGAUGGAAUCUUGAUUGACUGAGUGGCGGACGGGUGAGUAACGCGUGGAUAACCUGCCUCACACUGGGGGAUAACAGUUAGAAAUGACUGCUAAUACCGCAUAAGCGCACAGUGCCGCAUGGCAGUGUGUGAAAAACUCCGGUGGUAUAAGAUGGACCCGCGUCUGAUUAGCUUGUUGGCGGGGUAACGGCCCACCAAGGCGACGAUCAGUAGCCGGCCUGAGAGGGUGAACGGCCACAUUGGGACUGAGACACGGCCCAA